rnacentral:misc_RNA from 1 species
GAAAUGCGAUAAGUAAUGUGAAUUGCAGAAUUCAGUGAAUCAUCGAAUCUUUGAACGCACAUUGCGCCCCCUGGUAUUCCGGGGGCAUGCCUGUUCGAGCGUCAUUUCACCACUCAAGCCUCGCUUGGUAUUGGGCGACGCGGUCCGCCGCGCGCCUCAAAUCGACCGGCUGGGUCUUCCGUCCCCUCAGCGUUGUGGAAACUAUUCGCUAAAGGGUGCCGCGGGAGGUCACGCCGCAAAACAACCCCAUUUCUAAGGUUGACCUCGGAUCAGGUAGGGAUACCCGCUGAACUUAAGC